rnacentral:rRNA from 1 species
AGUAGCGCACUGGUGAGUAACACGUGGGAACGUACCUUUUGGUGGGGAACAACAGUUGGAAACGACUGCUAAUACCGCAUAAGCCCUGAGGGGGAAAGAUUUAUCGCCGAAAGAACGGCCCGCGGAAGAUUAGGUAGUUGGUGGGGUAACGGCCUACCAAGCCGACGAUCUAUAGCUGGUCUGAGAGGACGAUCAGCCACAUUGGAACUGAGACACGGUCCAAACUCCUACGGGAGGCAGCAGUGAGGAAUAUUGGGCAAUGGAGGCAACUCUGACCCAGCCAUGCCGCGUGAGUGAAGAAGGUUUUCGGAUUGUAAAGCUCUUUCGGGUGUGACGAUGAUGACGGUAGCACCUAAAGAAGCCCCGGCUAACUUCGUGCCAGCAGCCGCGGUAAUACGAAGGGGGCAAGCGUUGUUCGGAAUUACUGGGCGUAAAGGGAGUGUAGGCGGUUAUGUAAGAUAGUGGUGAAAUCCCAGAGCUUAACUUUGGAAUUGCCAUUAUGACUAUGUGGCUAGAAUUACAGAGAGGAUAGUGGAAUACCCAGUGUAGAGGUGAAAUUCGUAGAUAUUGGGUAGAACACCAGUGGCGAAGGCGACUAUCUGGC